rnacentral:rRNA from 1 species
CUCAGGAUGAACGCUGGCGGCGUGCUUAACACAUGCUAGUCGAACGAAGCACAGGAAAUGCUUGCAUUUCUUGUGACUGAGUGGCGGACGGGUGAGUAACGCGUGGGUAACCUGCCGUAUACAGGGGGAUAACAGUUGGAAACGACUGCUAAUACCGCAUAAGCGCACAGUACCGCAUGGUACAGUGUGAAAAACUCCGGUGGUAUAAGAUGGAUUCGCGUCUGAUUAGCUAGUUGGUGGGGUAACGGCUCACCAAGGCGACGAUCAGUAGCCGGCCUGAGAGGGUGAACGGCCACAUUGGGACUGAGACACAGCCCAAACUCCUACGGGAGGCAGCAGUGGGGAAUAUUGCACAAUGGGGGAAACCCUGAUGCAGCGACGCCGCGUGAGUGAAGAAGUAUUUCGGUACGUAAAGCUCUAUCAGCAAGGAAGAAAUACCGACCUUUGGUCGCUAGACGGUACUUGACUAAGAAGCCCCGGCUAACUACGUGCCAGCAGCCGCGGUAAUACGUAGGGGGCAAGCGUUAUCCGGAUUUACUGGGUGUAAAGGGAGCGUAGACGGCAAUGCAAGUCUGAAGUGAAAUCCCGGGGCUCAACCCCGGAACUGCUUUGGAAACUGUAUGGCUAGAGUGCAGGAGAGGUAAGUGGAAUUCCUAGUGUAGCGGUGAAAUGCGUAGAUAUUAGGAGGAACACCAGUGGCGAAGGCGGCCUGCUGGGCUCUAACUGACGCUGAGGCUCGAAAGCGUGGGUAGCAAACAGGAUUAGAUACCCUGGUAGUCCACGCUGUAAACGAUGAUUACUAGGUGUGGGUGGACUGACCCCAUCCGUGCCGGAGUUAACACAAUAAGUAAUCCACCUGGGGAGUACGACCGCAAGGUUGAAACUCAAAGGAAUUGACGGGGGCCCGCACAAGCAGUGGAGUAUGUGGUUUAAUUCGAAGCAACGCGAAGAACCUUACCAGGUCUUGACAUCGAGUGACGUACUUAGAGAUAGGUACUUCCUUCGGGACACGAAGACAGGUGGUGCAUGGUUGUCGUCAGCUCGUGUCGUGAGAUGUUGGGUUAAGUCCCGCAACGAGCGCAACCCUUAUCAUUAGUUGCUACGCAAGAGCACUCUAAUGAGACUGCCGUGGAUAACACGGAGGAAGGUGGGGAUGACGUCAAAUCAUCAUGCCCUUUAUGACCUGGGCUACACACGUACUACAAUGGCACUCAAACAGAGGGAUGCAACGUCGCGAGGCGAAGCGGAACCCAAAAAAGUGUCUCAGUUCAGAUUGUAGGCUGCAACUCGCCUACAUGAAGUCGGAAUUAAUAGUAAUCGCAGAUCAGCAUGCUGCGGUGAAUA